CAAGUCGAACGAUGAAGCCUUUCGGGGUGGAUUAGUGGCGAACGGGUGAGUAACACGUGGGCAAUCUGCCCUUCACUCUGGGACAAGCCCUGGAAACGGGGUCUAAUACCGGAUAACACUUCCUGCCGCAUGGUGGGGGGUUAAAAGCUCCGGCGGUGAAGGAUGAGCCCGCGGCCUAUCAGCUUGUUGGUGGGGUGAUGGCCUACCAAGGCGACGACGGGUUAGCCCGGCCUGAGAGGCGACCGGCCACACUGGGACUGAGACACGGCCCAGACUCCUACGGGAGGCAGCAGUGGGGAAUAUUGCACAAUGGGCGAAAGCCUGAUGCAGCGACGCCGCGUGAGGGAUGACGGCCUUCGGGUUGUAAACCUCUUUCAGCAGGGAAGAAGCGAGAGUGACGGUACCUGCAGAAGAAGCGCCGGCUAACUACGUGCCAGCAGCCGCGGUAAUACGUAGGGCGCAAGCGUUGUCCGGAAUUAUUGGGCGUAAAGAGCUCGUAGGCGGCUUGUCACGUCGGAUGUGAAAGCCCGGGGCUUAACCCCGGGUCUGCAUUCGAUACGGGCUAGCUAGAGUGUGGUAGGGGAGAUCGGAAUUCCUGGUGUAGCGGUGAAAUGCGCAGAUAUCAGGAGGAACACCGGUGGCGAAGGCGGAUUCUGGGCCAUUACUGACGCUGAGGAGCGAAAGCGUGGGGAGCGAACAGGAUUAGAUACCCUGGUAGUCCACGCCGUAAACGUUGGGAACUAGGUGUUGGCGACAUUCCACGUCGUCGGUGCCGCAGCUAACGCAUUAAGUUCCCCGCCUGGGGAGUACGGCCGCAAGGCUAAACUCAAAGGAAUUGACGGGGGCCCGCACAAGCAGCGGAGCAUGUGGCUUAAUUCGACGCAACGCGAAGAACCUUACCAAGGCUUGACAUAUACCGGAAACGGCCAGAGAUGGUCGCCCCCUUGUGGUCGGUAUACAGGUGGUGCAUGGCUGUCGUCAGCUCGUGUCGUGAGAUGUUGGGUUAAGUCCCGCAACGAGCGCAACCCUUGUUCUGUGUUGCCAGCAUGCCCUUCGGGGUGAUGGGGACUCACAGGAGACUGCCGGGGUCAACUCGGAGGAAGGUGGGGACGACGUCAAGUCAUCAUGCCCCUUAUGUCUUGGGCUGCACACGUGCUACAAUGGCCGGUACAAAGAGCUGCGAUGCCGCGAGGCGGAGCGAAUCUCAAAAAGCCGGUCUCAGUUCGGAUUGGGGUCUGCAACUCGACCCCAUGAAGUCGGAGUUGCUAGUAAUCGCAGAUCAGCAUUGCUGCGGUGAAUACGUUCCCGGGCCUUGUACACACCGCCCGUCACGUCACGAAAGUCGGUAACANCCGAAGCCGGUGGCCCAACCCCUUGUGGGAGGGAGCUGUCGAAGGUGGGACUGGCC
rnacentral:rRNA from 1 species